rnacentral:rRNA from 1 species
AGUGAACGCUGGCGGCAGGCCUAAUACAUGCAAGUCGAACGGCAGCACAGCAGAGCUUGCUCUGUGGGUGGCGAGUGGCGGACGGGUGAGGAAUACAUGGGAAUCUGCCCAGUCGUGGGGGAUAACGUAGGGAAACUUACGCUAAUACCGCAUGCGCCCUUCGGGGGAAAGCCGGGGACCUUCGGGCCUGGCGCGAUUGGAUGAGCCCAUGUCGGAUUAGCUAGUUGGCGGGGUAAUGGCCCACCAAGGCGACGAUCCGUAGCUGGUCUGAGAGGAUGAUCAGCCACACUGGAAACUGAGACACGGUCCAGACUCCUACGGGAGGCAGCAGUAGGGAAUAUUGGACAAUGGGCGCAAGCCUGAUCCAGCCAUGCCGCGUGAGUGAAGAAGGCCCUCGGGUUGUAAAGCUCUUUUGUCCGGAAGAAAAGCGCCGGGUUAAUACCCUGGUGUCCUGACGGUACCGGAAGAAUAAGCACCGGGCUAACCUUCGUGCCAGCAGCC